UACGUAGGAUGCGAGCGUUAUCCGGAUUUAUUGGGUUUAAAGGGAGCGUAGACGGCUGUGCAAGUCAGAUGUGAAAACCCGGGGCCCAACCCCGGGAGUGCAUUUGAAACUGCCAUGCUGGAGUGCCGGAGAGGUAAGCGGAAUUCCUAGUGUAGCGGUGAAAUGCGUAGAUAUUAGGAGGAACACCAGUGGCGAAGGCGGCUUGCUGGACGGUAACUGACGCUGAGGCUCGAAAGCGUGGGGAGCAAACAGG
rnacentral:rRNA from 1 species